rnacentral:rRNA from 1 species
AUCGAUGUGCAUGGAAUUAUUUAAAUAUUUAAAUUUAUUUAGAUCUCGGAAGCUAAGCAGGGUUGGGCCUGGUUAGUACUUGGAUGGGAGACCACCUAGGAAGACUAGGUGCUAUAGGCG